GACGAACGCUGGCGGCGUGCUUAACACAUGCAAGUCGAACGGAAAGGCUCCACCUUUCUGUUGUACUCGAUUGGCGAACGCGUGAGUUACACGUGGUUAAUCUGCCCUGCACUCUGGGAUAAGCCUUGGAAACUAGGUCUAAUACUGGACAUGACUUUUCUCCUUAUUGUGUUUGGUUGAAUGUUUUUCGGUGUCGGAUGAGCCGUCGGCCUAUCAGCUUGUUGGUGGGGUGAUGGCCUACCAAGGCGACGACGGGUUGCCGGCCUGAGAGGGUGGUCGGCCACAUUGGGACUGAGAUACGGCCCAGACUCCUACGGGAGGCAGCAGUGGGGAAUAUUGCACAAUGGGCGGAAGCCUGAUGCAGCGACGCCGCGUGAGGGAUGACGGCCUUCGGGUUGUAAACCUCUUUCAGCAGGGACGAAGCGUAAGUGACGGUACCUGCAGAAGAAGCACCGGCUAACUACGUG
rnacentral:rRNA from 1 species